rnacentral:rRNA from 1 species
UACGGAGGGUGCAAGCGUUAUCCGGAUUCACUGGGUUUAAAGGGUGCGUAGAUGGGCAAGUAAGUCAGUGGUGAAAUCUCCGGGCUUAACCCGGAAACUGCCAUUGAUACUAUUUGUCUUGAAUACUGUGGAGGUCAGCGGAAUAUGUCAUGUAGCGGUGAAAUGCUUAGAUAUGACAUAGAACACCAAUUGCGAAGGCAGCUGGCUACACAAAUAUUGACACUGAGGCACGAAAGCGUGGGGAUCAAACAGG